UGUCGUCACUUGCCUGUGCAGCAUGUUGUUGAUAGUGGAUUUUCUAAGCAGAAAGGCUAUAAUCCGGUACUUCUCAUUUCUGUUUGUAUGACAAAUAGUCCACUAUUUCUUUGCAACUUGACUUUAGCACUGCAUUCUGCCUGUCAUCGGUAUGCUCUACUUUCUGUUUUCUUUUGUUAGAAUAUUUGAAGUGAACAUUCUGCCAACUGGUGCAAUCACCUUCAGAUUGCAACUUGUCUGUCCCAUUUACUUUGUAUGCAAGCAUGUGAAUUCUUGGAUUUUGAAUCCUGUAAUCAAUAUCUGUGAAGGCAUUCAUCAUGACUAGUAACAUCAUAAUUAUGUAUGACAUGGUUAAUUAUGGUUGGGUGGGUGAAAAUGUGCAUAACCACAUAAUCAGAUGAACUAAUUUGUGAAUAGGAUGGCCACAGGUUAUAUAUGAAACUAAUGGCACGUACUAACUUAAUGUUUAUACAUAGAUAUUUAUGUGACAUCAGUACUACUAAUAACUCUGAAUUAUAUCUUGCUGUGUGGUAGAAUAUAUUCAUGUCUUUGAACUCACUAGAUUUUGAGUCUAUAUAUUUUGUGAGAGAUUUUUGAAUAAUUGCAGCUUAUCCUUUACUGUAUAUUUGUAGGGUCUAAACUUCAGAAAGGAAAAACUGAAGCAGCUGGACUAAAGCAGUUGGUUACUUGCUUAUCACUAGAAUUCCAUUAUGCCCUUACAAAUGUGCUGCUGCUGCAUGGUUUAAAUUUGAGACAUAAGACCCUACAUGUGUAAUGAAUUGGUGGAUUGAUGUCAUGAUAUGUA
rnacentral:lncRNA from 1 species